rnacentral:rRNA from 1 species
GACGAACGCUGGCGGCGUGCUUAACACAUGCAAGUCGAACGGUAAGGCCCUUUCGGGGGUCCACGAGUGGCGAACGGGUGAGUAACACGUUGGUGAUCUGCCCUGCACUUUUGGAUAAGCCUGUGAAACUGGGUCUAAUACCGGAUAGGACUACGCGAUGCAUGUCGUGUGGUGGAAAGCUUUUGCGGUGUGGGAUGGGCCCGCGGCCUAUCAGCUUGUUGGUGGGGUGAUGGCCUACCAAGGCGACGACGGGUAGCCGGCCUGAGAGGGUGUCCGGCCACACUGGGACUGAGAUACGGCCCAGACUCCUACGGGAGGCAGCAGUGGGGAAUAUUGCACAAUGGGCGCAAGCCUGAUGCAGCGACGCAGCGUGGGGGAUGACGGCCUUCGGGUUGUAAACCCCUUUCAGCACAGACGAAGCGUAAGUGACGGUAGGUGCAGAAGAAGCACCGGCCAACUACGUG